GAUGAACGCUGGCGGCGUGCCUAAUACAUGCGAGUCGAGCGAACGGACGAGAAGCUUGCUUCUCUGAUGUUAGCGGCGGACGGGUGAGUAACACGUGGAUAACCUACCUAUAAGACUGGGAUAACUUCGGGAAACCGGAGCUAAUACCGGAUGAUAUUUUGAACCGCAUGGUUCAAAAGUGAAGGACGGUCUUGCUGUCACUUAUAGAUGGAUCCGCGCUGCAUUAGCUAGUUGGUAAGGUAACGGCUUACCAAGGCAACGAUGCAUAGCCGACCUGAGAGGGUGAUCGGCCACACUGGAACUGAGACACGGUCCAGACUCCUACGGGAGGCAGCAGUAGGGAAUCUUCCGCAAUGGGCGAAAGCCUGACGGAGCAACGCCGCGUGAGUGAUGAAGGUCUUCGGAUCGUAAAACUCUGUUAUUAGGGAAGAACAUAUGUGUAAGUAACUGUGCACAUCUUGACGGUACCUAAUCAGAAAGCCACGGCUAACUACGUG
rnacentral:rRNA from 1 species